AUCAAUGGUUUUAGGAAUCUGGAGGAAAGAAAAAGGUUAUUUAAGAGAUCUAAUCCUCUUUUGAGACCCAGAACUCAUCGUUCAGUAUGAGUUUUGAUACAGAUAAGAAGGAACAUG
ensembl:snoRNA